UACGUAGGGGGCAAGCGUUGUCCGGAUUUAUUGGGCGUAAAGAGCGUGUAGGCGGCCAUACAGGUCCGUUGUGAAAACUGGAGGCUUAACCUCCAGACGUCGAUGGAAACCGUAUGGCUAGAGUCCGGAAGAGGAGAGUGGAAUUCCUGGUGUAGCGGUGAAAUGCGCAGAUAUCAGGAAGAACACCCGUGGCGAAGGCGGCUCUCUGGGACGGUACUGACGCUGAGACGCGAAAGCGUGGGUAGCAAACAGG
rnacentral:rRNA from 1 species